UACGGAGGGAGCUAGCGUUGUUCGGAAUUACUGGGCGUAAAGCGCGCGUAGGCGGCGAACCAAGUCAGGGGUGAAAUCCCGGGGCUCAACCCCGGAACUGCCUUUGAAACUAGUUUGCUAGAAUCUUGGAGAGGCGAGUGGAAUUCCGAGUGUAGAGGUGAAAUUCGUAGAUAUUCGGAAGAACACCAGUGGCGAAGGCGACUCGCUGGACAAGUAUUGACGCUGAGGUGCGAAAGCGUGGGGAGCAAACAGG
rnacentral:rRNA from 1 species